rnacentral:rRNA from 1 species
GUAGGUGGCAAGCGUUGUCCGGAAUUAUUGGGCGUAAAGCGCGCGCAGGGCGGUCCUUUAAGUCUGAUGUGAAAGCCCACGGCUCAACCGUGGAGGGUCAUUGGAAACUGGGGGACUUGAGUACAGAAGAGGAAAGCGGAAUUCCAAGUGUAGCGGUGAAAUGCGUAGAGAUUUGGAGGAACACCAGUGGCGAAGGCGGCUUUCUGGUCUGUAACUGACGCUGAGGCGCGAAAGCGUGGGGAGCAAACAGGAUUAGAUACCCUGGUAGUCCACGCCGUAAACGAUGGGUGCUAAGUGUUAGGGGGUUUCCGCCCCUUAGUGCUGCAGCUAACGCAUUAAGCACUCCGCCUGGGGAGUACGGCCGCAAAGGCUG